rnacentral:rRNA from 1 species
ACGCACGCUGGCGGCGUGCUUAACACAUUCAAGUCGAACGGAAAGGCCUCUUUCGGGGGGUACUCGAGUGGCGAACGGGUGAGUAACACGUGAGUAACCUGCCCUUGACUUUGGGAUAACUUCAGGAAACUGGGGCUAAUACCGGAUAGGAGCUCCUGCUGCAUGGUGGGGGUUGGAAAGUUUCGGCGGUUGGGGAUGGACUCGCGGCUUAUCAGCUUGUUGGUGGGGUAGUGGCUUACCAAGGCUUUGACGGGUAGCCGGCCUGAGAGGGUGACCGGCCACAUUGGGACUGAGAUACGGCCCAGACUCCUACGGGAGGCAGCAGUGGGGAAUAUUGCACAAUGGGUGGAAGCCUGAUGCAGCAACGCCGUGUGCGGGAUGACGGCCUUCGGGUUGUAAACCGCUUUCGCUCAUGACGAAGCUUUGUGUGACGGUAGUGGGUAAAGAAGCACCGGCUAACUACGUG